rnacentral:rRNA from 1 species
ACUCCUACGGGAGGCAGCAGUGGGGAAUAUUGCACAAUGGGCGCAAGCCUGAUGCAGCCAUGCCGCGUGUAUGAAGAAGGCCUUCGGGUUGUAAAGUACUUUCAGCAGUGAGGAAGGCAGGUACGUUAAUAGCGUGCUUGUUUGACGUUAGCUGCAGAAGAAGCACCGGCUAACUCCGUGCCAGCAGCCGCGGUAAUACGGAGGGUGCGAGCGUUAAUCGGAAUUACUGGGCAUAAAGCGCAUGCAGGUGGUUUGUUAAGUCAGAUGUGAAAGCCCGGGGCUCAACCUCGGAAUUGCAUUUGAAACUGGCAGACUAGAGUACUGUAGAGGGGGGUAGAAUUUCAGGUGUAGCGGUGAAAUGCGUAGAGAUCUGAAGGAAUACCGGUGGCGAAGGCGGCCCCCUGGACAGAUACUGACACUCAGAUGCGAAAGCGUGGGGAGCAAACAGGAUUAGAUACCCUGGUAGGAUAGCG